AAGAGGUCCAUGCAGUGGCAUGCCUGCGAACGACCUACUGGCGAACGGGUGAGUAACACGUGAGGAACCUGCCCCGAACACCGGGAUAACCCUCCCAAAGGAGAGCUAAUACCGGAUACCCCCGUCAGAUCGCAUGAUCAGAUGAGGAAAUGGAUUCCGCUUCCGGAGGGCCUCUCGGCCUAUCAGCUUGUUGGUGGGGUAACGGCCCACCAUGGCAUCUACGGGUAGCUGGUCUGAGAGGACCAUCAUCCACACUGGGACUGAGACUCGGCCCACACUCCUACGGGAGGCACCUGUGGGGAAUCUUGCCCAAUGGGCGAAAGCCUGACCCAGCUUCGCCGCGAGGGGGAUGAAGGCUCUCGGGUUGUAAACCCCUUUCAUCAGGGACAAAUCAAGACGGUACCUGCCCAAUAGGCCCCGGCUAACUACGUGCCAUCAGCCGCGGUACCACGUAGGGGGCAAGCGUUGUCCGGAUUUAUUGGGCGUAAAGAGCUCGUAGGCGGCUGAGUUAGUCGGGUGUUAAAUCCCCAGGCUCAACCUGGGACACCACCCGAUACUGCUCUGGCUAGAGUCCGGUAGGGGAGCGUGGAAUUCCCUGGUGUAGCGGUGAAAUGCGCAGAUAUCAGGAGGAACACCUUCGGCGAAUGCGGCGCUCUGUGCCGGAUCUGACGCUGAGUAGCGAAAGCGUGAGUAGCAAACAAGAUUACAUACCCUGACUACUCCACGCCGUAAACAUUGGGGCACUAUGUGUGGGGACUAUUC
rnacentral:rRNA from 1 species